UAUUAGAAUUUGUAUGUGUUUUUAUAUCCUUGAAAAUCAGAUUAUCUAUUAAGAUAGAAUACAAAUGAAAUGAAAUAUAAAAAAUUUUCUCUCUCUAUGAGAGACCUUCCCUCGCAUGGGGGUCUUCUUCUCAAUUUUUCUACGGCUUCUUCUUCCACCAUUGGCUUGGAGGGCUUCAUCCAUCGUUCAUAUGCUCGCUAAUAAUCGGAGUUCCGGCGCUGAUGGGUCGGGCGGCCGCGCUGUUGGUGGUCACGCUCGCAUAGGGUGGACUUGUGCCCUCUCUUGUCGUUGGGACAGAUGGAUUCGGACUAGGAGAAGUUGGAGUGGGCCUCAGUGCACAGGAGCAACAACGACGGUAGCAGGUCUGACAGGGGGUGACGUGGCCCGCUUUCAUUGGGGCUACGUGUCGCACAUAUAGAGGGUACCGUACAAGUAUAAAUACCCUCAUUUAUGAUAUUUCAAAUACGUUUUCAGUACUUUACUUUUACCGCCAUAUUCACGCUCUAAUUCGAUCUCAUUUUCGACCCCACCUUUUCUAACUUAAGCAUCGGAGGCCAUCGCCGAGGGCUUCUCGGCUAGUCUUACGUUUGCUGUGUUCUCAGGAUCCACUUCAGGUAACUUGAAAGAAGGAUUCAGCGAUCACGACCCAGCGACCCCGAUCCGGGAAUCCUAAAUUUUGAGCGACCUACAUCAGUGCUCGAUAUCACACAACACACAACUCGUAUGAUACCCCCAUCAUUACUGAUACCACACACCAUACAACUCGUAUGAUAUCCCAUCAUCAAUCAUAUCAUACAACACACUGCUUGUAUGAUAUGUCACAUUAUCUCUACUGAUUAAUGACAGCACACAUCUCGUCAUUAAUCUAUCAUUAUAAGCUAUUGUAGUAUGCUCCCUCCCAAUUAGGUAAGUCAUCUCUUAUUUUAAUUCGCAAUAUCAACAUCAUUAACUUCAUCAUGCAAUUUCAUGUAAUAAUUAU